AGUGAACGCUGGCGGUAGGCCUAACACAUGCAAGUCGAACGGCAGCACAGUAAGAGCUUGCUCUUACGGGUGGCGAGUGGCGGACAGGUGAGGAAUACAUCGGAAUCUACUUUUUCGGGGGGGAUAACGUAGGGAAACUUACGCUAAUACCGCAUACGACCUACGGGUGAAAGCAGUGGAUCUUCGGACCUUGCGCGAUUGAAUGAGCCGAUGUCGGAUUAGCUAGUUGGCGAGGUAAAGGCCCACCAAGGCGACGAUCCGUAGCGGGUCUGAGAGGAUGAUCGGCCACACUGGAACUGAGACACGGUCCAGACUCCUACGGGAGGCAGCAGUGGGGAAUCUUGGACAAUGGGCGCAAGCCUGAUCCAGCCAUACCGCGUGGGUGAAGAAGGCCUUCGGGUUGUAAAGCCCUUUUGUUGGGAAAGAACAGCAGCAGGUUAAUACCCCGCUGUUCUGACGGUACCCAAAGAAUAAGCACCGGCUAACUUCGUG
rnacentral:rRNA from 1 species